GGGCGUUUGGCACAGUGGUAGCGCGCAUGCUUUGCAUUGUCAGCUUGCAUGAGGUCGAGGGUUCAAACCCCUCAACGUCCA